UUUGCUGCUUCAAUUUCUAAAUUUCAGAAUAUAGAGCACUUUUCCCUUUUGGGAUGAAAUCUCUUACAGGAUAUAGUAGCAGUAAAUCUUGGUUUUGCAAUUGUUGGGCAGCUCAGUGCUGUUAUUCAUGGUGAUGGGCAUCUGUACAUCUCACUGCCCUCAGGAAGAAUUGUUUGCUACCAGCCAGGCACGUGAAUGCACAGGAGAGAGCACAAGUGUAAUAAUUAAACCAAACCCAACCCCAAACACAAAAAACCCUACCUUUAAAAAUUAAUGAAACCAUGAAUAGUCUCCAGUGCUUUCAUUAGGGUUGUGUGCCAGCUGCUUAAUGGCACAGAAUUCAAAUUGCUGCGUGCAGAGAGGAAGCACACAUAGUAUUCUUGAUGUUUUUAACAAGUUUAGGUAUAUACAUUUAAAUGUAACCAUGUGCUCUUGUGAGCCUGGAAGACUCCCUUUUCAUGCCAUUAGGAUGUAGGGGGUGUUUGGCAAAAUCUUUGCAACUGUUACCAGUUGCAGAACUACCUGGUUUUGUCUGGUAUUAAAUGGUGUUUGUCUGGACCCGCUACUGUGUUCUUCUGGAGUCUUCUUGUUGAGAGUGACGAAGGUAUCAGCAGUGAUUAUGUUAUUCUUGCAAAAGCAAACCCUAAGAAAUGGAGUUGUUUGAAAGAACAAACUGUUAGUCUUUGAAUCAUACAUGGUUUGAUGUCUCCUUCCUGUGCAGCAUAAGUGCAUGGUCCCCAUUUACAGAGAGUCAAGCAGUUUCGCUUAGGACAAUGCAAGUGGCAUUGUUUUGUGGGUUAUUUGGGUGGGGUUUUUUUAAGCACUAAUUACAGUAAAAUAGCUUAUUCUAAUGUACUAGGUCUAUUAUCUGUAAGCCUUAAAAUGAGUGUGUAUGCCCUGUGAGUCGAACUGAGCUCUGCUUGUCCUUGCCCUGCUCCCUGCAGAGUGCCUGCCAAGGCUGGCCAUGCAUGAGGAUUCCCAGCAUCCUUUUGAGGGGCAGAGGAAGGACGUUAACAAAGUUGCUGUGGAUCCACUUUUCUACUAGUUAGCUUUUUCCUGUUUCUGCAUCCUACCUGGUUCUCGGUGUUGUUUGUGUUGAGUAUCUAACAUGGGCUAGGCAGCUGAUGGUGAUGGGAGAGGAGCAGCAAAAGGCGCAAAGGAACGUCCAUGCGUGCUCCAUCUGUACCAGCAUUGCAGAGUGCUGGGAAGAACGUCGGUACCAUCAGGCAGAUGAUGCAAUAAUUCUUUUCCAUCUGUUCUCGUCUAUAUUUGCACUCACAGGAAAGCUUCCUUCUUGUGAGACACAGCAAUCUCUGGUUUCAAACACUGUCCCUGUUUCGGAAGUUCCUUUGGGAGCCUGGUGCUGGGAAAUGCUCCAGUGGGGCUCACCAGGCACCCAGAAUAGUAGGGCCAUGUCACCUAGCAACUCCUCACAACUGUAGAAGGCUUUGUUGGAGUGGAUCAAGGUGACACUUAGCUGCUAUUUUCAGACCUGCACUUCCUGCUGGCUGUUGCAAAUUUAUUUCCCUGCUUUAUUUAUUUAUUUGCUUGCCUUUUGCUGAAUCAUAGACCUGGAAAAUACUUCUGAGGUCACUGCAAUCCACAGCUCUGCUUCCUGAUUGAUUUUGCUGCUAUUUUCCAGUUUUACAUGGCACACAGCAACUCAAAAUGGACUAUGAGAAGCUGCCUGCGCUUCAUGGAUGUAGCUUUCUUGCUGCACAAGGUGUUUCUUCCCUGUUCUUUUGUCUUAAAAUUAAUGGAGCUGCUCAAAACUUAAUGCUGCCUUUGCCAGGGCUGCUUCCACAGCCACAGUGGGAUGGAAAGCACUGAGCCACCAUGUGGGAUGGCUCCAAGAGUGCACCCUGUGCAGCUUCCCCCUCACAGCCACUGCCUCUGGUAAAUCCAGACAUCACCAUCUCCUCUCCAUGGCAUUUUCCCUCCCCCUGAGUCUGCAGCCCUUUAGCACUUAAGAGCCACCCCUCCAUCUCCAGGUAGCAUUUGAAAUGUGCAGAAUGGGUACAUUCAGUGGCUGGAUGUAAUGAUUGCAUUAAAACAGUUAAAGUCAGGCUCAGGCUCAGGAAAAGCCGUGGUCCCAGGGUCCAGCUGUGGCUUGGACCAUCAGUGCCCAUAGGCCACAUGGUGGUUGAUGCCAUACUCACCUGCUCCUGUUUCCCUGCAACUCCUCAGGGCAGGAUCACUGUGCAAUAAAUAGUUCUUCAGUGUUUCUUGUCCUCAUCUUAAUCUAUUCUAUGAUUAAUCAUAGAAUCACAGAAUGGAAGGAAGGAACCUUAAAGCUCAUCCAGUUCCAACCCCCUGCCAUGGGCAGGGACACCUUCCACUAGACCAGGUUGCUCCAAGCCCCGUCCAACCUGGCCUUGAACACUGCCAGGGAUGGAGCAGCCACAGCUUCUCUUGGCAACCUGUGCCAGUGCCUCAGCACCCUCAUAGGGAACAGCUUCUGCCUAAGAGCUCAUCUCAAUCUCCCCUCUGUCAGGUUGAAGCUAUUCCCCUUUGUCCUGUCCCUACAGGCCUUUGUCCAAAGCCCCUCUCCAGCUUUCUUGUAGCCCCUUUAGGCCCUGGCAGCUGCUCUAAGGUCUCCCCAGAAAUCUUGUAUGUGUGGCUUUUGCAGAAGCUGCACCCUACCAUCCAAAUAAAGGCGGAAUUAUUGAUUUCCUCAUAAGCCAGAGAGGAAAAAAUGUUCAGGGAGAUGUCUUAGUUCUUACAAACUAGUGGAUUUGACAGCUGUGUGUGAUAAGUUUCUGCGUGUGCUCUGCUGGAGUUUUUAGACAAAUGAAGGUUGCUUGUUCAGAGCACACUUCUCAUGGACAUCAGGGCUGCCACUUCGUGGAUUCCUACAACCCAGACCCCAGGAUAUGAGCUGUGUGUCCUGAAAAUUAGCAACAAGGUGGGCACGUGUGAGUGCUACUUCUUUGCCUAGUGCGGGGAUAGAUGUGAACAGAGAUGAACAGAGAUUCUCUCUGAUCAUCUUUUCCCAGCAGUGUUUACCCUAAAAUACAUUUAUUUCUGUCCUUGUUUCCAACCCCUUUACCUUCAAGUUUCUGGUGAAAAGGUGUAAAUCCAUCAUCUAUAAACCUGUUCUCCUUUCUACAAAAACUUCCUACACCAUCAUGUUAGCUCUGGGAUGGAGGUGUAGGCCAUUCUGAGUGCCACAGGAUCAUUCAGAGCAGCUGCCCUGUGCGGAGAUGAUGGGCUUUGCAUGGUGAAGCUGUGGGCCCUGUCCCUGUGGGUGUGUGUGGAGGGGUGUCAUCCAUCUCUGCUCUUCAACGUGACUCAUCCAUCCCCAGCCGCACUUUUCACUUCUCCUGCGGGAAGAGGGAGAACACAGGCCAGUCUCUAUUUCUGCUGUGAAAGUUACACCCUUAUGUUAGCCCAGGAGUUGGAGUGUGGAGGGAAGGAGCUGAGCACCCAGCAUGGGGAGCUCCGCAGCCCCACCAAGGGAGGAAGUCUCUGUGCUCGCACCGCACAGCCCAGCCUGAGCCCUUGUCCCCUCUCUCUUGGAGUCUGAGUUUUACAGAAAUCACUGCAAAGUCAGAGAAGGAUUGGCCCGGAUUUGGCCUCUUUCCCUGGAGAAGGGCAUGUUCAUCCAGCUGCUUUCUACACUUGAGGGCGAGAAAUGUCCUGGAGGUGACCCUGUCCUGGUCUGAGCCCUGUGUGGGGCUGUCCUGAUCCUGCUGAGGCUCUUGGCUGUUCCUUUCAAACCAGGGGCAGAGCCAGCAUGCCUCAGGAUUGCACUUCCCCUGUCUCCUCUGUCUGUGCUUAAUAAAUGUCUUUUAAACCAUCUCUGGAGUUUUAGAGGGUCCUUAUUCAGACAUGGCGGCAGUGCUGCCUGCUGCUGCUUUGGAAACACUCUGAUGAACUAUGUUUCAGUGUAUAUAUGGAGGAGUUUGAUAGAUGCAUGUAUACGUGCACAUGUAUGUGUAUACAUAUAUGUCUUACUCCUGUAUCAUUUUAAGCAGCUGCUAGUGGGUGCCGUGGUUUGUACCAGUGCAGGAAAUACAGCAUUUCUACAGUUGGAUCGCAUCCGUGUUGUCAAGUCAAAUAUUCAAACUCAUCAAGGAUCCCAACUUGAGACAUAAUAAACCAUCAUGUUUUUCU